GAUGAACGCUGGCGGCGUGCCUAAUACAUGCAAGUCGAGCGAACGGACGAGAAGCUUGCUUCUCUGAUGUUAGCGGCGGACGGGUGAGUAACACGUGGAUAACCUACCUAUAAGACUUGGAUAACUUCGGGAAACCGGAGCUAAUACCGGAUGAUAUUUUGAACCGCAUGGUUCAAAAGUUAAAGACGGUCUUGCUGUCACUUAUAGAUGGAUCCGCGCUGCAUUAGCUAGUUGGUAAGGUAACGGCUUACCAAGGCAACGAUGCAUAGCCGACAUGAGAGGGUGAUCGGACACACUGGAACUGAGACACGGACAAGACUCCGACGGGAGGAAGCAGUGGGGAAUAUUCCGCAAUGGGCGAAAGCCUGACGGAGCAACGCCGCGUGAGUGAUGAAGGUCUUCGGAUCGUAAAACUCUGUUAUUAGGGAAGAACAUAUGUGUAAGUAACUGUGCACAUCUUGACGGUACCUAAUCAGAAAGCAACGGCUAACUACGUG
rnacentral:rRNA from 1 species